ensembl:lncRNA ERICH2-DT ERICH2 divergent transcript
ACACCCUCGGAUUGACGUGCGCACGCGCACCGGUUACCUUCAGGAGCGCCGAAGAAGGAAAGAAGAACACAGAGCCCGAGGCAAAGCUUAAGUGCUUACGCUUUUGUCGGGAGGUACAGACCCAGCUCUGCGAGAGCCAGGGGAAAAGGAAGAGAGGCAGGGAAGGAAUGGCAGCAAGUACAAGGUGAUGAAUGACUGCACUGGCCAUUGCUUCAUGAAGAGCCACGAAAAAACAGAGCCGGUUUCUCAGCAGGUGGCUGGCUGCUCAGUCACAAAGGACCUCUUUGGACAGGCUUUAUGGAAAUACUGUGCCUAGGACAGUCGCUCAAAGGCAGGAGGGAGAGAAAAUGCAUCUGCAAGCUCACUUUGUCUUCUUUCUUCUGCUGGUCAAAAUUUGCUGGCUGGGGCAGUUAACGCCCUCACACAUCCGAGUUGUGUCACCUGGCCCCUUUGGUAGCCACUGGGGAAGCCAGAUCUAGGCAUGUGGCCUGAUGGCUCCUGCGGUGGAACCACAUGCUCACACUCAGUCAGUCACCACUGGGAUGCCCUGGGCAGGGCAGGCUGAGUGGCUGGGAGAUAGCUGAGCCUAAGAUAUCUAAGCAAGCACCUGUGAUGUAUGCACUGCAGUGUCCAAAUGUGAAAAAGCAAGAAAGGGAGAUAGAAGCAUAUUUUUUUCUGGAGAGAAGGAGGAAACCACCAGGAGAAUACAAACAGAAAAAAGACAUGCUCAUCAUGCCCUGCAAACUCCUAUGAACUGGAACUACAGCAGCUGUUCUGCCAGGGACAGGUUCUUCUCUAAAGUUCCAGCUCUCUGGAGGGAGAAAGCCCUGACUUUGGAUGGAGUUGAGCUCUGUCGCCCAGGCUGGAGUGCAGUGGCACCAUCUCAGCUGACUGUGACCUCCGCCUCCUGGGUUCAAGUGAUUCUCCUGCAUCAGCCUCCCGAGUAGCUGGGACUACAGGUGCACACCACCAUGCCCGGCUAAUUUUUGUAUUUUUAGUAGAGACGGGGUUUUGCCAUGAUGGCCAGGUUUGGUCUCAAACUCCUAACCUCAAGUGAUCCACCCUCCUCAGCCUCCCAAAGUGCUGGGAUUACAGGCGUGAGCCACUGCGCCCCGCCUACUUGAAUUUUUUUUUUUUUUUUUUUUUUUGAGACAGAGUUUUGCUCCUGUUGCCCAGGCUGGAGUGCAACGGCAUGAUCUCGACUCACUGCAACCUCUGCCUCCUGGGUUCAAGUGAUUCUCCUGCCUCAGCCUCCCAAAUAGCUGGGAUUACAGGUGCCCACCACUGUGCCUGGCUGAUUGUAUUUUUAGUAGAGAUGGGGUUUCAUCAUGUUGGUCAGGCUGGUCUUGAACUCCAGACCUCAGGUGAUCGGACUGCCUCGGCCUCCCAAAGUGCUGGGAUUACAGGCAUGACCCACUGUGCCCGGACCUGCUUGAAUUUUUAUGAUGAGCAUGUUGGCAGAUCACGACUGCCAGCUCCGUGACAGCAAGAACCUUGUAUGACUUUUUCAUGAUGGAUGUUCAUCUGUGCCAUCUGUAAAUAUUGAAUAAAUAUUUGUGGAAUACAUGAAUCUAAAAGUGAAUGGAAUGAUAAAGAGGGAAAGGGUCAUGACAUCUACUACAGCAUUUGGCACAGACCCAGCUGUCUGCAGUACUAUCAAGAGAUGACAUGGACUUCAAGGAUCAAACAGGGGAGAAAAAGGCUUAAAAGAAAAACAAGUCUCCAUCAAAGGUAAUAACCACAAUGAGAACUAUACAUAGCUAUGUGCUUAUAGGUCUUAGUUCACAUUCCCCUCAUUAAAAUUAUAGCUCAAGAAAUAAAGGGCUGUUUAAUGACUUGGGUAUAUAAAUAUACUUCAUUUGUAUAUUUUUUACUUGCUAAAAUCUAUCCAAAUUGGUAUUACCUCAAACCAUAAUCUUCUACUGUAUUUUAUAAUUUUACUUUAUUGCCAUGUAUUUUUCCCACUGAUGUUCACAAAUUCACAGGAAACAUCAGCCAUGUACUAAAUAAAAUAUGAAUUGAAUCGACAAAUAGAACUAUAAAUUUAAUUCAAGCACAUGUAAAAUUUAGACCAAAGAAUAAAAAUGUCUAUUAAAAAUACAGCCAAGCAUGGUGGCUCACACCUGUAAUCCCAGCACUUUGGGAGGCC